rnacentral:rRNA from 1 species
CCUACGGGUGGCAGCAGUGGGGAAUAUUGCGCAAUGGGCGAAAGCCUGACGCAGCGACGCCGCGUGAGGGAUGAAGGUCUUCGGAUCGUAAACCUCUGUCAGCAGGGAAGAACGGUCACUGUGCUAAUCAGCAGUGAAUUGACGGUACCUGCAACGGAAGCACCGGCUAACUCCGUGCCAGCAGCCGCGGUAAUACGGAGGGUGCGAGCGUUAAUCGGAAUUACUGGGCGUAAAGCGCUCGUAGGCGGUAUGUCAAGUCAAGGGUGAAAUCCCCGCGCUAAACGUGGGAACUGCCUUUGAAACUGGCAAACUGGAGUGUGUGAGAGGAUAGUGGAAGUCCAGGUGUAGGAGUGAAAUGCGUAGAUAUCUGGAGGAACAUCAGUGGCGAAGGCGACUAUCUGGCACAUAACUGACGCUGAGGAGCGAAAGCGUGGGUAGCAAACAGGAUUAGAUACCCGGGUAGUC